rnacentral:rRNA from 1 species
AGCGAACGCUGGCGGCAGGCUUAACACAUGCAAGUCGAGCGGGCCUUUCGGGGUCAGCGGCGGACGGGUGAGUAACGCGUGGGAACGUGCCCUCUGGUUCGGAAUAACUCAGGGAAACUUGAGCUAAUACCGGAUACGCCCUUUUGGGGAAAGGCUUGCUGCCGGAGGAUCGGCCCGCGUCUGAUUAGCUAGUUGGUGAGGUAACGGCUCACCAAGGCGACGAUCAGUAGCUGGUCUGAGAGGAUGAUCAGCCACACUGGGACUGAGACACGGCCCAGACUCCUACGGGAGGCAGCAGUGGGGGAUAUUGGACAGUGGGCGCAAGCCUGAUCCAGCCAUGCCGCGUGAGUGAUGAAGGCCUUAGGGUUGUAAAGCUCUUUUAUCCGGGACGAUAAUGACGGUACCGGAGGAAUAAGCCCCGGCUAACUUCGUG